rnacentral:snRNA from 1 species
AUACAAUACAGAGAAGAUUAGCAUGGCCCCUGCUCAAGAAUGGCACAGAAAUCUGUGAAGUGUUCCAUUUUAUU